GACGAACGCUGGCGGCGUGCUUAACACAUGCAAGUCGAACGGAAAGGCCCUGCUUUUGUGGGGUGCUCGAGUGGCGAACGGGUGAGUAACACGUGAGUAACCUGCCCUUGACUUUGGGAUAGCUUCAGGAAACUGGGGCUAAUACCGGAUAGGAGCUCCUGCUGCAUGGUGGGGGUUGGAAAGUUUCGGCGGUUGGGGAUGGACUCGCGGCUUAUCAGCUUGUUGGUGGGGUAGUGGCUUACCAAGGCUUUGACGGGUAGCCGGCCUGAGAGGGUGACCGGCCACAUUGGGACUGAGAUACGGCCCAGACUCCUACGGGAGGCAGCAGUGGGGAAUAUUGCACAAUGGGCGGAAGCCUGAUGCAGCAACGCCGCGUGCGGGAUGACGGCCUUCGGGUUGUAAACCGCUUUCGCCUGUGACGAAGCGUGAGUGACGGUAAUGGGUAAAGAAGCACCGGCUAACUACGUGCCAGCAGCCGCGGUGAUACGUAGGGUGCGAGCGUUGUCCGGAUUUAUUGGGCGUAAAGGGCUCGUAGGUGGUUGAUCGCGUCGGAAGUGUAAUCUGGGGGCUUAACCCUGAGCGUGCUUUCGAUACGGGUUGACUUGAGGAAGGUAGGGGAGAAUGGAAUUCCUGGUGGAGCGGUGGAAUGCGCAGAUAUCAGGAGGAACACCAGUGGCGAAGGCGGUUCUCUGGGCCUUUCCUGACGCUGAGGAGCGAAAGCGUGGGGAGCGAACAGGCUUAGAUACCCUGGUAGUCCACGCUGUAAACGGUGGGUACUAGGUGUGGGGUCCAUUCCACGGGUUCCGUGCCGUAGCUAACGCUUUAAGUACCCCGCCUGGGGAGUACGGCCGCAAGGCUAAAACUCAAAGGAAUUGACGGGGCCCCGCACAAGCGGCGGAGCAUGCGGAUUAAUUCGAUGCAACGCGUAGAACCUUACCUGGGUUUGACAUGGAUCGGGAGCGCUCAGAGAUGGGUGUGCCUCUUUUGGGGUCGGUUCACAGGUGGUGCAUGGCUGUCGUCAGCUCGUGUCGUGAGAUGUUGGGUUAAGUCCCGCAACGAGCGCAACCCUUGUUCACUGUUGCCAGCACGUUAUGGUGGGGACUCAGUGGAGACCGCCGGGGUCAACUCGGAGGAAGGUGGGGAUGACGUCAAGUCAUCAUGCCCCUUAUGUCCAGGGCUUCACGCAUGCUACAAUGGCUGGUACAGAGAGUGGCGAGCCUGUGAGGGUGAGCGAAUCUCGGAAAGCCGGUCUCAGUUCGGAUUGGGGUCUGCAACUCGACCUCAUGAAGUCGGAGUCGCUAGUAAUCGCAGAUCAGCAACGCUGCGGUGAAUACGUUCCCGGG
rnacentral:rRNA from 1 species